rnacentral:rRNA from 1 species
GAUCCUGGCUCAGGAUGAACGCUGGCGGCGUGCCUAACACAUGCAAGUCGAGCGAAGCGCAUUGCUUUGAAUCUUUCGGGAGGAAGAGCGAAGUGACUUAGCGGCGGACGGGUGAGUAACGCGUGGGUAACCUGCCUCAUACAGGGGGAUAACAGUUAGAAAUGACUGCUAAUACCACAUAAGCGCACAGGACCGCAUGGUCAAGUGUGAAAAACUGAGGU